AUUGAACGCUGGCGGUAUGCUUAACACAUGCAAGUCGAACGAUGAGAAAGAGCUUGCUCUUUCGAUUAGCGGCGGACGGGUGUGUAACGCGUAGGAAUCUACCUAUUAGUGGGGGACAACUUAGGGAAACUUAAGCUAAUACCGCAUACGCCCUACGGGGGAAAGAAGGGGAUCGCAUGACCUUUUGCUAAUAGAUGAGCCUGCGUAGGAUUAGCUAGUUGGUGGGGUAAAAGCUCACCAAGGCGACGAUCCUUAACUGGUUUGAGAGAAUGAUCAGUCACACUGGAACUGAGACACGGUCCAGACUCCUACGGGAGGCGGCAGUGGGGAAUAUUGGACAAUGGGCGGAAGCCUGAUCCAGCAAUACCGCGUGUGUGAAGAAGGCCUUAGGGUUGUAAAGCACUUUCAACUGGAAGGAAAACCUCGAAGCUAAUACCUUCGAGUUUGACAUUACCUUUAGAAGAAGCACCGGCUAACUCCGUGCCAGCCGCCGCCGUAACAC
rnacentral:rRNA from 1 species